CAGAAACCUCCAGGGCUGAGUCCCUUCCUUGACGACAGGCCCCACCCCAUUCCCGGCCUGGGGCCCUCAACCUAGAUGCCUCCUCCAGGAAGGACCCCCAACCACACAAGCACACAAGCUCACAAUCACACAGGCACAGGGGAUGUGCCCGCUCACAGAAGCCCCACGACCUGAGAUCUUCCGGGACUGUGGCCAAACCCCUUCGUCCUCAGAGACCUUUGCCUCCUCCUGCCCCUCAGGCUCUCAAGACUCUGCUCUGAACCUUGGCACCCCUGGAACCGCUUCAUUUUUUGGAGCCUCCCCCACGUGGCAGGGCUGAUCAGUGCAUGGGUAGUGUGACCUAAGCCUGACGACGACUAGAGAUUCAAGAAGGCCUCCUAAAAAGAAAAUGAACCAACUCUUCCAAAGGGACUGGAGGUCCCAAGCUACCCAGGAGGGGAAGUGAUCCCAGCUUUGAUGUAUUUUAGGGACUGCACACUUGAUGUUGCCCAGUGUCUGCUGUCCAGGAGGAAGGCAGAUCGAUGGCCGAGUGCUCGAGGUGGGUUAACUGUCACGUCUACUGCUGCCGAAGGGGGUCUUUUUUUGUUUGUUUUGAGACAGAGUCUCACUUUGUUGCCCAGGCUAGAGGGUAGUGGCACAAUCUUGGCUCACUGCAAUCUCCACCUCCUGGGUUCAAGCGAUUCUUGUGCCUUAACUUCCCGAGUAGCUGGGACUACAGGCAUGCGCCACCACGCCCGGCUAAAUUUUGUUGUUUAGUAGAGAUGGGGUUUUGCCAUGUUGCCCAGGCUGGUCUCGAACUCCUGGUCUCAAGCAAUCUGCCUGCCUCAGCCUCCCAAAAUGCUGGGAUUACUGGAGUGAGCUACCGCACCUGGGCUUUUUUUUUAUUUUUUAUUUAUUUUUUUAAUUAAAGACUGUCUUGCCUUCUUGCCCAGGCUGGUCUCAAACUUCUGGCUUCAAGUGAUGAUCUCACCUUGGCCUCCCAAAGUGCUGGGAGUAUAGAUGUGAGCCACUGUGCCCAGCCCUGCUGGAGGGUUCUAUAGGGAGGCCCACUGCAGAUGGUGAGUCCUCUUGGGCUCUGCUUCAGAGAACAGUAGGGCGUGUCCCAGAUCUGGGUGGUUUGGGUACCCCAACACAGGCUUCCCUCCUUCUCUCCAUCAUCCACUGCUGGUCAGCAGCUCCCCACACCCACUGGAAUAGUGAGAGGGAGGAGAAGCUCUUGGAUUUGCUGGUCUCCAGGUCAAAGAUGUGGUUUUGGGGAUAAACAGUUUAUUCUGAGAGCCCCAAGAGGUAAGGGGCAUAAAGAAUGAGGAACUGAACCUGAUCAUUAUGUGUUAUAUGUAUUGAAACAUCACUAUGGGUGGGGCGCAGUGACUCACACCCGUGAUCCCAGCACUUUGGGAGGCCGAGGUGGGUGGAUCAUCUGAGGUCAGGAGUUCGAGACCAGCUUGGCCAACAUGGGGAAACCCCAUCUCUAUUAAAAAUACAAACAUUAGCCGGGCUUGGUGGUGCGCGCCUGUAGUCCCAAAUACCUGGGAGGCUGAGUUGGGAGAAUCGUUUCAACCCAGGAGGCAGAGGUUGCAGUGAGCCGAGAUUGGGCCACUGAACUUCAGCCUGGAUGACAGAGCGAGACCCUGUCUCCCCCCGCCAAACAACAACAACAACAACAACAACAACAACAAAAAUCACUAUGUACCCCAUGAAUAUGUGCAAAUUAUUAUUAUUAUUGUUUUUGAGAUAAGGUCUUGCUCUGUCACCCAGGCUGGACUGCAGUGGUGCAGUCUCAGCUCACUGCAGCCUUAACCUCUCAGGUUCAAUCAAUCCUCCCACUUCAGCCUCCCGAGUCUGGGACUACAGGUACUCGCCACCACACUCGGCUAUUUUUUUUUUUUUUUUUAGAGACAGGGUCUCACUAUAUUGCCCAGGCUGGUCAAUUAUUAUUUGUCAGUUUGAAAAAUGUAAAAAUAAGGAAGGGGUAGGUAGGAAUAAAUAAAUAACAGCUGACAGAGUAGGUGAGGAGAAUUCAACUUUUUGAAUUUUUUUUCUUUUUUUUUUGAGACAAAGUUUUGCUCCUGUUGCCCAGGCUGGAGGGCAAUGAUGUGAUCUUGGCGGGCAAUGAUGUGAUCUUGGCUCACUGCAACCUCCACCUCCUGGGUUCAAGCGAUUCUCCUGCCUCAGCCUCCCAAGU
rnacentral:lncRNA from 10 species